AUCUACUUUAAAAAAGAAAUAAUCGGAAUAUAGAAGUGAGUUUUUUGUUUGUUUUUUUUAAUACGAUAAGAAGAAUUAGAGUGAAGAUUUCGCCACACUGAACGUUUUCCCAGUUUGAUGGCAGAACUCCAUAUGUGGGCAACACAGGCGUCUAGUGUUCUUGUUGUAGAACACACUAAACAUGGCGUAGGAAACGUUGUUCACUACCACCGAUGGAAGAGUCUGGACCAUAUCUUCAGGAACUACAGCAUCCAGAGAAAUCAUGAUGCCACUUUGACAGUACAGUGAGCGUUCCCCCUGUUUGAUGGCAGAACUCCAUGUGUGGGCAUCUAUGGAACGUCUGAAGAAAUUGUAUCUAGUGUUCUUAUUGUAGAACACACUAAACAUGGCGUAGGAAACGUUGUUCACUACCACCGAUGGAAGAGUCUGGACUAGAUCCUCCGGACCUACUGCAUUCGGACACAUCAUGAUGCCACUUUGACAGUACAGUGAGCGUUCCCCCUGUUUGAUGGCAGAACUCUGAAGAAAUUGUGAGUUCCUAAAUGGUUCGAUAAAGUGAAAACUUAAUUUAAUGAAAUUAAAAAUGUCUACGAAUUUCAUAUAAAAUACUCAAAAUUUUACAAAAGGAGUAUUCAUACACCGGGCGUCUGGUCUUUGGGUCAUAACUGACACUUACCACGGCGUAGUAUAAAUUGUUUACUACCACCGAUGGCAGUGUCCAGGCAAGAUCUUCCGGACAAAUCAUGUUGCCACUUUGACAGCUGAGACGUUGCAGCAACGUAUAUAUAACGAAAAAGGCAUUAUAGAAAAUUUAUGUGAUGUUCGAUCGCACUAUCAUUGAAUAUAUUUCAAUUAAUUUACUUCAAGAUAGUUACAAUUCCUUUUAUAAUUAUUUUAUAUGUUAUAAUUUGAAUUUCGCACCCAUGAUGUUCAUUUUUUAUGAAAAUGUUGUAUUUUCUGAUUUUCACAUUUUUGAUUGUCUAACUUCAUUGACCCAAAUUCUGCUUGAAUUUGAUUCACAUUCAAAUUCAAGAACAUAACUGGAAAAUGCCAUUCUCUUGAAUUUUGUAAUUUUUAGAAUUGUAUUAAAUUACCGUUGAAUUUUCCUUCAUUUGAAGAAAUAGCAUUUCACGACAAAUGAUUAGAUAUAUCGAGCAAUUCAUUGCUUAAAAGACUACAGCAUUUCUGUGAAUUUUCAAUUAUUGAGUAGUAUUUUUCAAUAUUACAAAAAUGGUAAAUUAGAAAGAAAAAUUCAACGAAUCAGUCUAAUUAUAAAUCAUCAAAAAUAUUUUGAUUAAAAAAUGAUUUGAAAAACUUGGCCGUAUGGAAUGUUACAAGUUUGAGAAUCAGAAAUCAGAAUUUUUUACGAUACUUACCGAAGUAUUCAAACUCCGGGCGUCUUGUAUGAGGGUCGUAACCGACACUGACCACGGCGUGGUAAAUGUUAUUUACCACCACCGAUGGUAGUGUCCACACAAGAUCUUCCGGACCGACCGUAUCCGGAAAAUACAUGUUGCCUCCUUAACAGUAGCCUUGUUGCAACAACUUAUAUAUAACGAAAAAGGCAUUAUGGAAAAAGUAGUUGGGCAGGAUUUUGAGUGGUUCAAACAGAAAAUUUACUUGUAAUUGUUUUUGUGAUGUUUGAUCGCCUUACCAUUGAAUAUAUUUCUAUUGAUUCACUAAUUCGCUACUAUUCCUCUUUUAAUUAUUUUAUGUGUUAUAAUUCGAAUUUCGCAACCAUGUUGUUUAUUUUUCAUGAAAACUCCGGGCGUCGUGUAGUUCUGUCGUAAACGACACUCACCACGGCGUGGUAGAUAUUAUCUACUACCGCCAAUGGUAGCGUCCACACAAGAUGUUACAGGACCGACCGUAUCCGGAAAAUUCAUGUUGCCUCCUUAACAGCUGAGUCAACAACGUAUAUAUAACGAAAAAGGCAUUACGGAAAAAGUAGUGGGGUAGGAGGUUCAAACUGAAAAUUUAUGUGAUGUUCGAUCGCACUAUCAUUGAAUAUAUUUCAAUUAAUUUACUUCAAGAUAGUUACUAUUCCUUUUAUAAUUAUUUUAUAUGUUAUAAUUUGAAUUUCGCACCCAUGUAGUUCAUUUUUUAUGAAAGUGAUGUCUUUUCUGAUUUUCACAUGUUUUAUUGUCUAACUUCAUUGACUCAAAUUCUCCUUGAUUGUGAUUAAAAUUCAAGAACAUAACUGAAAAAUUUAAUGAGAUUAAAAAUGUCUACGAAUUUUAUAUAAAAUACUCAAAAUAUUACAAUAAGAAAAAAUUUUCUACGAUACUUACCGAAAUAUUCGUAUAUCGGGCGCCUUGUGGUUGGGUCGUACACGACACUCACCACGGCGUAGUAGAUAUUAUCUACUACGGCCGAUGGUAAGGUCCACACAAGAUCCUCCGGACCGACCGAAUCCGGAAAAUUCAUGUUGCCUCCUCAACCUUAACCUUAGCCUUGUUGCAACAACUUAUAUAUAACGAAAAAGGCAUUAUGGAAAAAGUAGUUGGGCAGGAUUUUGAGUUGUUCAAACAGAAAAUUUACUUGUAAUUGUUUUUGUGAUGUUUGAUCGCGUUACCAUUGAAUAUAUUUCUAUUGAUUCACUAAUUCGCUACUAUUCCUUUUAUAAUUAUUUUAUAUGUUAUAAUUUGAAUUUCGCACCCAUGUAGUUCAUUUUUUAUGAAAGUGAUGUCUUUUCUGAUUUUCACAUGUUUGAUUGUCUAACUUCAUUCAUUCAAAUUCUGCUUGAUUGUGAUUAAAAUUCAAGAACAUAACUGAAAAAUUUAUUGAGAUUAAAAAUGUCUACGAAUUUUAUAUAAAAUACUCAAAAUAUUACAAUAAGAAAAAAUUUUCUACUAUACUUACCGAAGUAUUCAUACUCCGGGCGCCUUGUUUGAGGGUCGUAAACGACACUCACCACGGCGUAGUAGAUAUUAUCUACUACCGCCAAUGGUAGCGUCCACACAAGAUGUUACAGGACCGACCGUAUCCGGAAAAUUCAUGUUGCCUCCUUAACAGCUGAGUCAACAACGUAUAUAUAACGAAAAAGGCAUUACGGAAAAAGUAGCGGGGUAGGAGGUUCAAACUGAAAAUUUAUGUGAUGUUCGAUCGCACUAUCAUUGAAUAUAUUUCAAUUAAUUCACUUCAAGAUAGUUACUAUUCCUUUUAUAAUUAUUCUAUAUGUUAUAAUUUGAAAUUCGCACCCAUAUAGUUCAUUUUUUAUGAAAGUGAUGUCUUUUCUGAUUUUCACAUGUUUGAUUGUCUAACUUCAUUGACCCAAAUUCUCCUUGAUUGUGAUUAAAAUUCAAGAACAUAACUGAAAAAUUUAUUGAGAUUAAAAAUGUCUACGAAUUUUAUAUAAAAAACUCAAAAUAUUACAAUAAGAAAAAAUUUUCUACGAUACUUACCGAAGUAUUCAUACUCCGGGCGCCUUGUAUGAGGGUCGUAAACGACACUCACCACGGCGUGGUAGAUAUUAUCUACUACCGCCAAUGGUAGCGUCCACACAAGAUCUUACAGGACCGACCGUAUCCGGAAAAUUCAUGUUGCCUCCUUAACAGCUGAGUCAACAACGUAUAUAUAACGAAAGAGGCAUUACGGAAAAAGUAGUGGGGUAGGAGGUUCAAACUGAAAAUUUAUGUGAUGUUCGAUCGCACUAUCAUUGAAUAUAUUUCAAUUAAUUUACUUCAAGAUAGUUACUAUUCCUUUUAUAAUUAUUUUAUAUGUUAUAAUUUGAAUUUCGCACCCAUGAUGUUCAUUUUUUAUGAAAGUGAUGUCUUUUCUGAUUUUCACAUGUUUGAUUGUCUAACUUCAUUGACACAAAUUCUGCUUGAAUUUGAUUCACGUUCAAAUUCAAGAACAUAACUGGAAAAUGCCAUUCUCUUGAAUUUUGUAAUUUUUAGAAUUGUAUUAAAUUUCCGUUGAAUUUUCCUUCAUUUGAAGAAAUAGCAUUUCACGACAAAUGAUUAGAUAUAUCGAGCAAUUCAUUGCUUAAAAGACUACAGCAUUUCUGUGAAUUUUUAAUUAUUAAGUAGUAUUUUUCAAUAUUACAAAAAUGGUAAACUAGAAAGAAAAAUUCAACGAAUCAGUCUAAUUAUAAAUCAUCAAAAAUAUUUUGAUUAAAAAAUGAUUUGAAAAACUUGGCCGUAUGGAAUGUUACAAGUUUGAGAAUCAGAAAUCAGAAUUUUCUACGAUACUUACCGAAGUAUUCAAACUCCGGGCGUCUUGUAUGAGGGUCGUAACCGACACUGACCACGGCGUGGUAAAUGUUAUUUACCACCGCCGAUGGUAGUGUCCACACAAGACCUUUUGGUCAUAAAUGACACGGCGUAAAACAAAUUUAUUCCAUAUUAAAUACAGCUUUUUUAAAUUGUUUUUUCUUCUUAGUAAAAAUUAUUCACUACUACCGAUGGCACAGGCUAGAUCUUCCGGACCGACCGUAUCCGGAAAAUUCAUGUUGCCUCUUUAACAGUAGCCUGAAACUUUAUGUGAUCUUCGACUUCGAUCGCACUAUCAUUGAAUAUAUUUCAAUUAAUUUACUUCAAGAUAGUUACUAUUCCUUUUAUAAUUAUUAUAUAUGUUAUAAUUUGAAUUUCGCACCCAUGUAGUUCAUUUUUUAUGAAAAUGAUGUCUUUUCUGAUUUUCACAUGUUUUAUUGUCUAACUUCAUUGACUCAAAUUCUCCUUGAUUGUGAUUAAAAUUCAAGAACAUAACUGAAAAUUUAAUGAGAUCAAAAAUGUCUACGGUCUAGAGACCGAAGACAUAAAUAUCGUAGAAAAUUUUUUCUUAUUGUAACAUUUGAGUAUUUUUAUAUAAAAUUUCGUAGAAGAAAUUUACUACGGCGUAGUAAACAUUUUUUACUACCACCGAUGGCAGUGUCAAAGCUAGAACUUCCGUUCCUACUGCAUCCGGAGAAAUCAUGUUGUCAUUUUGACAGCUGAGUUGUUGCAACAACGUAUAUAUAACGAAAAAGGCAUUAUAGAAAAUUUAUGUGUUGUUCGAUCGCACUAUCAUUGAAUAUAUUUCAAUUAAUUCACUUCAAGAUAGUUACUAUUCCUUUUAUAAUUAUUUUAUAUGUUAUAAUUUGAAUUUCGCACCCAUGAUGUUCAUUUUUUAUGAAAAUGUUGUAUUUUCUGAUUGUCACAUUUUUGAUUGUCUAACUUCAUUGACCCAAAUUCUGCUUGAAUUUGAUUCACGUUCAAAUUCAAGAACAUAACUGGAAAAUGCCAUUCUCUUGAAUUUUGUAAUUUUUAGAAUUGUAUUAAAUUUCCGUUGAAUUUUCCUUCAUUUGAAGGAAUAGCAUUUCACGACAAAUGAUUAGAUAUAUCGAGCAAUUCAUUGCUUAAAAGACUACAGCAUUUCUGUGAAUUUUUAAUUAUUGAGUAGUAUUUUUCAAUAUUACAAAAAUGGUAAAUUAGAAAGAAAACUUCAACGAAUCAGUCUAAUUAUAAAUCAUCAAAAAUAUUUUGAUUAAAAAAUGAUUUGAAAAACUUGGCCGUAUGGAAUGUUACAAGUUUGAGAAUCAGAAAUCAGAAUUUUUUACGAUACUUACCGAAGUAUUCAAACUCCGGGCGUCUUGUACGAGGGUCGUAACCGACACUGACCUCGGCGUGGUAAA